AAUUUUUAUGCGUCCGGUGGGCAACGGCUGGAGAUGCGAAGGCAUCGCGCCCCGAGGAGGGGGGCUGAGACGAUGCCCAUAUCCGAGCUGACUGGCGGAUUUCUGCUGGUCUUCUUGCUUCUGCGGGACUGAUAUUGGGUCCAUCUUUCAUCAAUGGCGGUAGGCUCCGAAGAAGGCGGCGGAGAGGGCACAACCACGAUCGACCAAAGCCGGUGUUGCUUAAGCGGGGGUGGCAGACCCAGAUCCAGUGGUCCGGGCGAGGACCAGCCCUCGAGGUCAGCACCCCGCUGCAGGAUUUGCGGGGGCGUCCCCCACUCCACUCUAGCGCUGCCGGGGAGCGGGGGGAGGUAGGCGCGUCGGACGAACCAGGGGAUCCAGAUCUCCCCCCGGGCCUGGUGCAUUGGAGGUUGGCCGGUGGGGAGGCGGGAUCUCGGGGAGACGUUGGAGCCGGCAUGGGCGGCCGCGACAUCCCAGACGAGGUGGCGGCUCGGAGGGAGGUGGCCGCCGCCGCAGACCAGGGCUUUACUUCGUGUACAGCGCCGGCCAGGGGAAUCCGCUGCUCGAGGUGCUGCCGCCAUCGGAUUCCUUCAAUCCCAUUGAUCUGCUGAACCAGAGGGCUAUGGCUAUGUGGUGGCCAGCAUCAGCCGCGUCAUAACCGAUGGCAUUCUGAAGUAUCAGCUCCUUCGCUACUCGUCCAAGACCAAGGCUUGGAGCACCAAGUUGGCUCCUAUGGAAUGCGACUGCGAAGACGAUGACCUAACUAAUCUGCUGAACCAUAGGACAGACAAGGUAAUCGCGGUGGGAAGCUCGUUGGGCUGGGUUGAUCUUUGGUGGGGUAUUCUGGUGUGCGAUGUGCUCAACGAGGAGGAUCCUUUGAUUCGUUUCAUUGAUCUGCCUGGUCCAAUGCCCAGCAACGAGCAUUGGUUCGGAACAUCGUCCGCUGGGGCAUGCCGAGACGUCAUCUGCAACGGAGAUUUAAUCAAGUUUGUUGAAGUUGAGUACCAUCGAGGUGACUAUGCUGAAGGCUCAGAUGAUAGUGCCAUUGAUUAUGGUUGGAAGGCCACAGCAUGGCAUAAGAUUCUUUCAUCACACAAUUUUGCUGAUUGGCAGCACAGCUUCACUGUAGACACUUAUGACAUUACAGUAACGGACGAUGAGAGAUGCUCUUACUUGUUGCCUGAACUGUGAACUGACAAUGCCAAGAAGCUAUCCCUGGACAAGUUUAUGUGCUCUCUUUCCAACCUGAGCCUGGACGAUGAUGUAUUUUACAUGAAGUCCACCCCGAAUCCUGCAAGCCCAGUGGCGUGGCUAGCUGCCGUAAAUGUCAGAGAGAAUCUACUACAACUUAUCCCUUUUACUGCUGAAAUUUCUCACUGCGAGCCAACCUAUCCUCCUUGUGUUUUCUCCAAGUACCUCAAUAAUACUCCAGGACAACACAUGGCUGUGGAGGAUCCGGGGAGGUAAUUUAUAUAUUUCUAGAUUACAGAACAAUCACUGUUUGAUAUUUGCUUUCUUCGGGUAUCAGCUGGCACAUUCCGAUGCAGGAUCGCUAAUCGGGUCACUAUUUUUUUUUACCGUUGUAUAGGUUGCUUAAUCCCACAAAAGGGCACCCACCAUCAGAGCUAUCGCCUCUAAGUGUUGAGAAAUGGCUUAAAGAACAUGGUCAUUGAUGAGUUUAAUUCCGGGGAUCCUAUCUGCAGUCCUGCACGGUAGCCUUAGUUCUAAUAUUAGCACAUAGAGACCCAUGUGCAAGCGACACUAAUCAGUUUUAUGAUCUUUCAGAAAGUCUCUAUCCCAAACAGGAGUGUUUGCCAUUGGAUCAUGGCCUGACCACUCGCGCAAUUAACACAAUUAUUAUACACAUUUACCUGUGAAAAUUCACAUUUUAGCAUGAUGUGAUUCAUGUUGCAUAACCUGUAUCUGCGAAGUUAGAAAUUUAUACUACAUGUUUUAUUUAUUUGCGAGGAAUACUGCAUGACUUAUUGCAGAGGGCUAUACACUACCACUUGAGAGGCCAAAAUUCUUGGAUUGCUCCUCUGUCAUGACAACUUAAACAUAUUCAAGAUGUAAGUUCCGUUGGACACAUUUUAACGUUUGAGCAAUAUUAUAGUGCCAAUUCAUAAUUUUUGCUUCAUGUCCAAGUGUCCAACAACACAAGACAUGUGGACACACUCAUAGCUCAGGUCGGUGCAUGUACUUGGAAUGGUGACUGGCUUGCUUAGGGCUGAUAAAACGCUACUCUGUGACUUGGUUGUUAUAAAGAUCGGUCUCGGGCUGAUCCAGACCCAUGCUGCGAGACAUAGUCGAGCAAGAAGGGAUUUGCCCCUCCGACUUGAAGAGAUGUCCUCUAGGCCCCUCAUGUGAUCCGACUUGAAUAAAGCAUGGCCAUGCGACAAAGAUCAUGAGAUAAUCCAGUUUUGGAAAUCAACAUCAUAGGGCCAGAAAGAGGCCGAUUGGAACAAGGAUGACUGAAUUGCCUUAAUCCUGGUAACACACAUCGUGAGGCAAAAGGAAAGGAAGUUGACACAUUGUACAUGUUCGUCAAACCGGCUUUCAUCUUAAACUUGGGAAUCAACAUGUUUUGCUACGAGCCGCUAUUGACUAGUCAAAUCGGAUUGAUAUCCGACUUGCGACCAAGUGUAAGUGAACCUAAGGGAUCGCGGGCUUAAGGAAGGAACCUAUGCGGCCAGAUCCGAUUUCACUGGUCAGAUGUGAUUUACUAGGACUUGGAUAUGGGUUGGGUAGAUUUUGGGCUUAUGUAGUUCUAGUGGGCUUCAUGUGUUGAGCCCAAAACAGACCUCUAUAUAAGUAGAGGUGGUGCAAGAGGGACAACGCUCUCGAAAGUGUGAUCAGUGUGUUGCAUAGGAUAGGUUUAGCCACCUCUAUGCCUAGGCUUUUUUAUUGACCUAGUAGUAAGCCGUCUGGCGUUCCUCUUGCACACGACGGACCUGUUAGUAGGAUUCGGCUAGGGAGAUCGGCCACGUGGAGAUGACGCCGGUGGCACGCUUCCCUAGCUCUUCUUCUGCUGUGAGAAUAAUAAAUGACAGGAGCCCAAAAACACCCGCCACCGAUUGAUUUUGAUAGCAGUAGCAGACCCGCAUUUAGGCCUGUAAGUGAUUGGGCCGGGCCCGCACCUUCAAACAGCCGACGUGAUGAGGGGUAGGCGUGGUCAUGGCGGCUGGAGCAAUGCUUGCAGCAUUGGGAGCCAAAGCCAUGGCAAUGCAGUCCCCAACAUCAGACUAGACAUGCCAAGAUCCACUGGGGACGGAAAGGGGUCUUACGGAGGGGGACGGGAGGGGGUGGCACAGAUGUACGUACCCGACGCGUUGGAGGAGGCGGCGGCGUGUCGAAGAGCUGUGUCGCUUCGUUUCGUUUCGUGAGGGCAGCGACAUGUUUUCUGAACUGCGUGGCUUGGGAGAGUUUUGGUGGGGAUCGAAGAGCUUCUCCCGGACAAAACCUGCAUGCCAAACGGGCCGUCGGGGAUUUUUGAGAGUUUCAAGGUUUUGUCCCCUUGAGGGUCAUCCUCUCAAAGCCCCUCCAAAACCUCUACCGAACGUGGCAUGCAGGGAUUAGGUCCACUAGGGGAUCUGAUCCUCUGUAACCGUACAUAGCCUUAAAUUCUUGUGUUCUUCAUAUAGAAAAAAAUGUACUAUUGCUCGUACGUAAAAGACAUGCCAUCUAUGCCGUGUCUAUUUAAUUUAUGUGCAAGUGCCUAACUGUUCUUUGAAGGUUGAUGAUAACUUCAAGGUUGUAAAGGUAAAGCUGAGCAAGGAAGAUCUAAUAGAAAUCUCGGCUGCUGUCCCUGCUGGCGACGUGGCUGGGUCGAGGGUCAUGGGAAUCUUGGAGCCUUAUUCUUGGAGGAUUGCAAACACUCCACCUCAAAAGUAGCCAUUUUACAUCAUCACUUGCAAAUCCGAGAGCAUCUCACCGUGUUAUGCUGCAUUUGUUUCGACCUUUCCGGUUACAUACAUUUGAGGGGGGAAAUGUGAAAGAAACAAGCUCGUCCAUACUCAAGAACAGGGGAACUUAGUACCUAAACAUACUCAUAGUUCUCUGUCGACGUAUCAAUUACUACACAUGAUAAAAAAAAGAGUUGAAUUCAAGUUGAGGUUUGCUGGGUAUCAUUCAUUCAAAAAUGGUACUGCUGUAAUAUUUCCACACAUGAUUGAAUGAGAUUACUGACAGAAUCGACAUGCAACUUCCUGUAGUCACACCAAAGUCUGGAUAUGUAUGUUCAACCUCACUAGUAGUGCCACUAAAAAUAUUUUACUGCAUGUGCUACUUUUGGCUCCUCAGGUUUCUAGUUCUUUUUACCACGCACCCUUGUGCUACCCUGUUACUUUCCAUUUACUGUUCAUCUGUUGCUACUUCGUUACUUUCCAUUUACUGUUCAUAUAUAUCCCCAGCUGGUUUCUAAUUCAUAUCUGCCACGAUAUCUUUUACAGGUUAACCUGUGCUGAUCUGCAACUGCUGAACUUUACAGGCAUGCAAGCAACGUAGAACGACAAAUUGCAAUGGACAAGUAGGGCUGCACGGGCGCCCAUGGUGUCCCUUUCAGGAGGAACCUUGGGGGUAGCUGACCAAUUCCUAAUGGAUCUCAAGGCUUGCUGUUGCUCGUGCACGCACUUCCGAGCAUCGUUGGGGAUCGUGCUCAGCAGCGGCCGGGCCGGCGAUGAUGCACUGGGGAUGUGUGCCCACCAAGAACAUAUGUGCCCUCCUCCCACAUGUUUGAGGGAGCCUUUGGGUUCCUGGACCGCCUCCCCAAAUCCUGAUGUUGCUGCUGAAAUCCCUGGACCAAAACCUUGAUGCACUUGAAAGCAAGGCAUCCGCCGCCCACGCAGUACUGAAGCAGUCCAUGAUUAUUUGAUGAUUGAUUGGUUGCCUGUGCUUAUGCUGUUCUCUGAUUAAACUAUGAAUCUGCAAUGCAAAAUGGCUCUGCAACAUGGUACAGUACCACUCUUUGGCGCUUCGCAUCUGCUGAUACAUUUGCAGGAAAGCUGUUGUUUAUCUGGAACCGGCUCCUCUACCGUGCCCUAUGAUAUCAUCACUGUUGCCAGGAGCCAGCUCUUGGACUCUUCUGAGGCAUGCAGAACGAACCGUCUGGCCAGAAGAAGAUGAAGACAUUGUUUACUAAUUGCACUGGGAGUAAAAACGAGAAGAUGUGAUGAGGGCGACAGUGCCAGUGUGGGACACAUGAAGAUGAUGCUUGUCAACGCACGGCAAUAAAGAAGCUCAUCUGGUCUUUUUCAUUCUUUCUCAAACUAUGUGCUCGAUCAAUUCCAGGGAUUGCACAUGCAUGCAUAUCGCCGGCCAGCCAGCCAGCCAUGGUCCCAGGGAUCAGGCUCGGACUCCCAUAUGGCCAUAUGCUUGAGCUAGCAUGACACUAUCUCAGAUGAAUGAUGAUCAUCAUUGUGCAUGCAUGCAUGCAUGCAUGCAUGCAAGCAGAUGCAGCGAAUACAUGCAUGCACUCUUCUUACCACAUCCAACCAGAGUGCUCCCACCCCGACCCAUCUUCUCCUCUCCCUUGUUGACUAGAACUACCAUUGGAUUUGGUGUUGGAAUAGAACACAUGUUCAGUCAAAGUAUAAAAAAUAUAUCCGCAAAAAAGUAUAUAAAAUGUAAAGACACCACAAGGUAACAAAAUUAAACUAGACGAAGCUGAUAGCAUAGACAUGGGAUCAUGAGAUGUGGUUAGAGUGGCUGUUAGUGAUUGUUCACCAUGGCGGGGUCUUUUUUCUUUAUUAUGUUUUUUAUUUUCUUUUUUGGCCAUGUGUAUCCUUGAUGCUUUUGGACAUUUUGUUGGUACAGAGCGCGGAUGUAAUUGGUAUCUUCGUGAUAUUAAUAUAUUUCC